AAUUCUUGACAUGUCCUCUCAUAUGAAGAUGUUGAGGAAUAAGGAAUUUUGGUUGUCAUUCUUUGUUCUUGGCCUUCUUGUCAUAUGUGAGUUGAUUUUUCAUUUCAUAAAUGAUUAGAGUAUCUUAAUGGACAUAUUGUAGUUUUAAACAAUAAUCUAUUAUAAAAAGUUUGAUGACACAGUGACAACAUCUUAUGUUCGUCUUUUACAAUAUCACGAUAAUUUGGAAAUUUUCGCAUUCAUCUCCAUCAAUAUUUUACAUGUUAAUUUGUUCACAUCUGUGGUAUAAUCGUUAUAUUUAAUGUUAUGAAUUCGUUUGUGCAGUUGUAAAUGGGAACAACAUUGGUGAUAAAGCUUUAAAAACUACCUUAAUAAAGACUAUUUUGGGAGAUGCAAGCCCACAACCGUCUACUAUGGAGUAUGAUAAUCCUCAUCACGAUGCCAAGCUAAGAGGUGUCUGUGUACCACUUCCAUCAUCACAUUGUAAAGGAACAGAUGGAGCUUGCUAUUGUUGUAUUGGUCCAAAUAUGAAUAUAUGCAUACGAGGUCUUAGUUUGUG
rnacentral:lncRNA from 1 species